UACGGAGGGUGCAAGCGUUACUCGGAAUCACUGGGCGUAAAGGGCGCGUAGGCAGCCUAGCAAGUCUGGUGUGAAAGCCCAGGGCUCAACCCUGGAAGGGCACUGGGAACUGUUAGGCUUGAGUUCCGGAGAGGAGGGGGGAAUUCCCGGUGUAGCGGUGAAAUGCGUAGAUACCGGGAGGAAUACCGGUGGCGAAUGCGCCCCUCUGGACGGAAACUGACGCUGAGGCGCGAAAGCGUGGGGAGCAAACAGG
rnacentral:rRNA from 1 species